GCGCCCAUAGUUCAACUGGACAGAACGUCGGGUUGCGGACCCGAAGCUUGCUGGUUCAAAUCCGGCUGGGCGCA
rnacentral:tRNA from 1 species